rnacentral:rRNA from 1 species
GUGGGGAAUCUUGCGCAAUGGGCGAAAGCCUGACGCAGCCAUGCCGCGUGAAUGAUGAAGGUCUUAGGAUUGUAAAAUUCUUUCACCGGGGACGAUAAUGACGGUACCCGGAGAAGAAGCCCCGGCUAACUUCGUGCCAGCAGCCGCGGUAAUACGAAGGGGGCUAGCGUUGCUCGGAAUUACUGGGCGUAAAGGGCGCGUAGGCGGACAGUUUAGUCAGAGGUGAAAGCCCAGGGCUCAACCUUGGAAUUGCCUUUGAUACUGGCUGUCUUGAGUACGGGAGAGGUGAGUGGAACUCCGAGUGUAGAGGUGAAAUUCGUAGAUAUUCGGAAGAACACCGGUGGCGAAGGCGGCCAACUGGUCCAUUACUGACGCUGAGGUGCGAAAGCGUGGGGAGCAAACAGGAUUAGAAACCCUAGUAGUCC